GGGGGAAUAAGUCCUCUGUGCCGAAGCUAACGCAUUAAGUAUUCCGCCUGGGGAGUACGGUCGCAAGACUGAAACUCAAAGGAAUUGACGGGGGCCCGCACAAGCAGCGGAGCAUGUGGUUUAAUUCGAAGCAACGCGAAGAACCUUACCAGGGCUUGACAUCCUCUGACAACCAUAGAGAUAUGGCUUCCCUUCGGGGCAGAGAGACAGGUGGUGCAUGGUUGUCGUCAGCUCGUGCCGUGAGGUGUUGGGUUAAGUCCCGCAACGAGCGCAACCCCUAUGUUUAGUUGCCAGCACGUAAUGGUGGGAACCCCAGACAGACCGCCGAGGACAACUCGGAGGAAGGUGGGGACGACGUCAAAUCAUCAUGCCCCUUAUGUCCUGGGCUACACACGUGCUACAAUGGCCGGUACAAAGAGCUGCAAUACCGUAAGGUGGAGCGAAUCUCAUAAAGCCGGCCCCAGUUCGGAUCGUGGGCUGCAACCCGCCCACGUGAAGCCGGAGUUGCUAGUAAUCGCGAAUCAGCAUGUCGCGGUGAAUGCGUUCCCGGGCCUUGUACACACCGCCCGUCACACCAUGGAAGUUGGGAGCGCCCGAAGCCUGUGUGCUAACUUUUUAAGAGGCAGCAGUCGAAGGUGAGACUAAUGACUAGGGUGAAGUCGUAACAAGGUAGCCG
rnacentral:rRNA from 1 species